GUUAUAACUUUGGCAGCACAUAUGCUAAAAUUGGAACAAUACAGAGAAGAUUAGCAUGACCCCUGCGCAAGGAUGACAUGCAAAUUCCUGAAUUAUUCCAUAUUUUU